rnacentral:autocatalytically_spliced_intron from 1 species
GGGAGCCCGGUGCGUGAAUCACGCCCGCCGGGAUCUGUGCGGGGGGUGCGCAGCAAUGCGCAUCCCUACCGCGAU